UUUUGAGCAGCAAGCUAAAUCAAAGAUUUUUACAGAAGGAAAGUUCUGAUGCCAACUGAAGAAUGAGUUUUUCAAAUAGAACUCCAUGACACUUCAGUUUAUGUUAAAAGACUUUCAAGAUAUAAUUACUUCUCUUAAUAUGCAACAAAACCUUGCUGUGUGGUCUACCAACUCAGGGUUAGGUGACACAUGACCUGCGUUCAGGGGGUGCUGUGGUGCAGAGGGUUUGGCCAGGACCUGCUCCCUGAUGGAUCUGG